AUAACCAGGCCUUCGAUUUUGCUUAUGUUAGGAUGAGGUUCUUCUCCUGUUCCUAACAUGGUUGUGGGGGCACAUAAGGGCUGUUGUAAGGGCCUCUCCCCCCAUCCGAUCUUAACAUAAUCGAGCCUUCGACUUUGCUCAUAUUAGGAUGAGGUUCUCCUCCUGUUCCUAACAUGGCUGUGGGGUUACAUAAGGGCCGUUGUAAGGGCCUCUCC
rnacentral:lncRNA from 1 species